UCCAACUUGGGGAGGAGAAGCGAGAGGUAGGGAACUGCAGGGAAGAGCCCCGCUUUCUUACCCUGGCACAUCAAGGGUAAGUCUGACAGCGACACUAAGAAUCGAUUUCAGCAAAGACAUCCUACUGAACACAAAGCGUUCAUGAAGGCCCAUGAGAACCGAAUCCCAGUCCACCCGGGACACAUGGGAACCCAGCAAGACUCAGAGCGACUGUGAGGCACGUGGCUAUGUCAUGGCUGAGCAAAUGGGUGGGGUAGAGACUCAAUGAACUUCACCCCUGAAAACAAGACUUGGUCAGCAAACCCCUUCUCAGAUGUCCCCAGAGCCCCUGAAGAGGACACGUGGCCAUAACUGCCAUCCAGAGAGCUUCCGAAGUGCUUUACCUGCCUUACCUUCUGGCUCUUCUGCUUGGUGUCACCACUGUUGGGGUAUUAAUUAGGCUGGAGGUUCUUGAGUAUGGCUUUGUGUCAGGUUACGUCCAUGUCUUCCCCGGAACUCAGCACAGUUUUGGUACACAGAAGUACAAUAAAUGGGGUUGGUUGAA